rnacentral:rRNA from 1 species
UACGUAGGGGGCAAGCGUUGUCCGGAAUCAUUGGGCGUAAAGAGCGUGUAGGCGGUCCGUUAAGUCGGCUGUGAAAGUCCAAGGCUCAACCUUGGGAUGCCGGUCGAUACUGCCGGACUAGAGUUCGGAAGAGGCGAGUGGAAUUCCUGGUGUAGCGGUGAAAUGCGCAGAUAUCAGGAGGAACACCAAUGGCGAAGGCAGCUCGCUGGGACGGUACUGACGCUGAGACGCGAAAGCGUGGGGAGCAAACAGG